rnacentral:RNase_P_RNA from 1 species
AUAAAGUUUGAGUGAUCGCUGUUUUGUUAUUUUACAACUCAGAGGAAAGUCCGAGCACCAUGGACAAUCGCAGCCGCUAACAGCGUGCCGCAUGACGAUUUAAACCGUCAUGUAGGGAUAGUGCCGCAGAGACAAUACUAAUCCUUCGGGAUGAAAGGUGAAAAGUCCGCUCUUAAGCGGAACCUCCCAGCUCAAGCUGGGAAUGUGGGUAAACCCUGUGAGGUGCAAGGUAGGAUGGAAAGAUUUUGCUUCCCCAAAUGUGGUAAUCUCUUCCUGCCGCUCAAGUUCCGUAAUACGGAAUUAGAUAGAUGAUCACACCUACUUCGGUAGGUACAAAACUCGGCUUAUGAUAACUUUGUUUAA